AUACUCUGGUUUCUCUUCAGAUCGUAUAAAUCUUUUGCCUUUUACUAAAGAUUUCCAUGGAGAGGAACAGCUCUGAAUCUUAAGAUACCAUCUCAUGCCAGUUAGAAUGGCG
rnacentral:snRNA from 1 species